AAAACAGCCCUUUUCAGGGCUACAAUAUUGUUUUUACGAAAGAGUU
rfam:Aedes aegypti strain Liverpool supercont1.94 genomic scaffold, whole genome shotgun sequence.